UACGUAGGGUGCAAGCGUUAAUCGGAAUUACUGGGCGUAAAGCGUGCGCAGGCGGUUUUGCAAGACAGAUGUGAAAUCCCCGGGCUUAACCUGGGAACUGCAUUUGUGACUGCAAGGCUAGAGUGUGUCAGAGGGAGGUGGAAUUCCGCGUGUAGCAGUGAAAUGCGUAGAGAUGCGGAGGAACACCGAUGGCGAAGGCAGCCUCCUGGGAUAACACUGACGCUCAUGCACAAAAGCGUGGGGAGCAAACAGG
rnacentral:rRNA from 1 species